rnacentral:rRNA from 1 species
AUUGAACGCUGGCGGCAGGCCUAACACAUGCAAGUCGAACGAGUGGCGGACGGGUGAGUAAUGUCUGGGAAACUGCCCGAUGGAGGGGGUUAACUACUGGAAACGGUAGCUAAUACCGCAUACCAUCGGAUGUGCCCAGAUGGGAUUAGCUAGUAGGUGGGGGGACGGCUCACCUAGGCGACGAUCCCUAGCUGGUCUGAGAGGAUGACGGGCCACACGGGAACUUGGACACGGUCCAGACCCCUAAGGCAGGCAGCAGUGGGGAAUGUUGCACAAUGGGCGCAAGCCUGAUGCAGCAAUGACGCGUGUAUGAAGAAGGCCUGCGGGUUGUAAAGUACUUUCAGCGAGGAGGCGUUACUCGCAGAAGAAGCACCGGCUAACUCCGUGCCAGCAGCCGCGGUAAUUC